CUACGGGUUGCUCCAGUGGGGAAUAUUGCACAAUGGACGAAAGUCUGAUGCAGCAACGCCGCGUGGAGGAUGACACAUUUCGGUGCGUAAACUCCUUUUAUAUCCCAAGAUAAUGACGGUAGGAUAUGAAUAAGCGCCGGCUAACUCCGUGCCAGCAGCCGCGGUAAUACGGAGGGCGCAAGCGUUACUCGGAAUCACUGGGCGUAAAGAGCGUGUAGGCGGAUAGAUAAGUUGGGAGUGAAAUCCUAUGGCUUAACCAUAGAAUUGCUUCCAAAACUGUCUAUCUAGAAUAUGGGAGAGGUAGAUGGAAUUUCUGGUGUAGGGGUAAAAUCCGUAGAGAUCAGAAGGAAUACCGAUUGCGAAGGCGAUCUACUGGAACAUUAUUGACGCUGAGACGCGAAAGCGUGGGGAGCAAACAGGAUUAGAUACCCCGGUAGUC
rnacentral:rRNA from 1 species